rnacentral:lncRNA from 1 species
AAAUUUUCCGUCUCCAAUUCCAAAAAUGUCGUCGUGCUGCGGUGGUAAAUGUGGUUGCGGGUCCGGCUGCAGCUGCGGCAGUGGCUGCAACGGGUAAUCUUUCUACCUCUCUGUUUGUUUUCCGAGAAUCUGGAAAAAAGAAAAUCCCAGAAAAUUUCUGCUCUGAUUUGGGUUUUUGACUACAUGGGUUUUUGUUCAGGUGUGGGAUGGCUCCUGAUCUGAGCUACAUGGAGGGGUCCACCACUGAGACCCUCGUGAUGGGAGUUGCUCCCCAGAAGUCGUACGUAUUCUCAUCUCUCAGAAAUGAGAUCCCAAAUUAUUUUUGAAAUAUGUAAUUUGCAGAUUUUGUGGUUAUAAUUUUGGGAGACACGGAGAAACAGAAGUAGAUGGACACCAAACCGACAAUAAAAGUUUUAAAACGACAAUAAAAGGGAAAAGGACUCCGAUCCCUUCCUCCAAUUCAAAUCAGGAAAUUUAUGAUGUUGAAAUUUUUUUCUUUACUAAUUAAUGAAAUCUUUUUGUCAAUCAAAAAAUGAAAGAUAAAUUAGUUUUUUGUUACAAAAAUAUGAUGGGUAAUAAUGUAAUUUUAAAGGUUUAAAUUUUAUUAUUUUUAUUGAAAUAUUACUUGCCGAUGAUAUUAAAAUACCUUUAAUAUUAUAUAAAAAAAUAACCAAAAAAUACCUUCCCAACUCUCCCAGUUCUCUCUCUCUCCUAUUUUUUUUUAAAUGUGUUCAUACAUAUAAAUUGCAAGUAAAUAUUAGUAAUUUUUAAAGUGAGUUUCUGUUUGUAAUCGUUGAAUCUGUAAGGAUUUUCUGAUUUGAUGAUUAGGAGAAAGGGAUAUGCGGAGUGGAUUUAUUCCCAGUAAAAGGAAACAAAAUCAUGAUUUAUGUACGGUUUAUUGUCUGUUUAACAUAAGUUAAAUUUGUCUUUGUUUUGUUUUUAUUGAAACCGCGAUCGGUAUGAUUUAGGGAAGCAUGGAGAGAGAAAGCAUCAUUUAUACACUGACUUAUUGUCUGUUUCGGAGCGCUGUAACAUUUGUUUUGUAAUUUUGAUGUGCAGUCACAUGGAGGCAUCUGAGAUGGGAGUUGCUGCCGAGAACGGAUGCAAGUGUGGAGACAACUGCACCUGCAACCCCUGCAACUGCAAGUGAGAGGGACAGAUGGCACCUUCUGAUGAAGCAAGAGAAUCGCGGGGCUUAUAUGUUUAGCAGUAAUAUAUGUAUGUGUGUGUGUCGUAAUCAUGAAUCAUGAUCCAAAUUUACGAAGGUCGUGUUUUUAGAAUAAAGUGGCCAUGGCUUCUUCUGAGCUGCACGUCCUACUAGGCUGGGAUCUGGUCCUAGGUUAUGGCUGCUUGUUGUCUGUUUGCUUUGUACAUGCAGUAGUCGUAUUUGUGUUUUUAUGUUCGUGUUAACUUGGUGGAUCGUAUUAUGUGUUUCUGAUGAAAUUAAUGAAAAACUUGCUCCAUCUUUUGCUUUAAUUUUUGGGUUAAUUGACAAGGAAAACGAGUGCAAUAAGUUCCAACAACAAAAGUUUCUAAGAUGUUCUGGGGAAAUUUGGAGUACAACAUAUUUCGAUGUUUUAACCUUUUAAGAAUUUGUCAAACAUCCAACGAUUAUCGGAGAAU